GCCGGGCAUGGUAGCUCAUGCCUGUAAUCCCAGCACUUUGGGAGGCAGAGGCGGGUGGAUCACCUGAGGUCAGGAGUUCAAGACCAGCCUGGCCAACAUGGUGAAACCCUGUCUCUA
ensembl:misc_RNA Metazoa_SRP Metazoan signal recognition particle RNA